rnacentral:rRNA from 1 species
GCAGUAGCCGCGGGAAAACGUAGGGUGCAAGCGUUAAUCGGAAUUACUGGGCGUAAAGCGUGCGCAGGCGGUUUGUUAAGACAGAUGUGAAAUCCCCGGGCUUAACCUGGGAACUGCAUUUGUGACUGGCGAGCUAGAGUAUGGCAGAGGGGGGUAGAAUUCCACGUGUAGCAGUGAAAUGCGUAGAGAUGUGGAGGAAUACCGAUGGCGAAGGCAGCCCCCUGGGCCAAUACUGACGCUCAUGCACGAAAGCGUGGGGAGCAAACAGGAUUAGAUACCCGCGUAGUCCCUGUCUCUUAUAC